rnacentral:lncRNA from 1 species
AGAAGAGUGAGUCAAAGAAGGAUGUGAGCACUGAAGAAAGGCACAGAGAGAUGCAACACUGCUGUUAUUGAAAAUGGAGGAAGGGAGCUGUGAGUCAAGGUGUGUGGGCAUUAUCUGGAAGCUGGAAAGGGCAGGGAAAGAGCUUAUCCCCUAGAGACUACAGAAAGGAGGGCAGCAUCUGCUGAUACCUUCAGUUUCUUUUAGCCCAGUGAGACCAGCGUUGGACUUUUUUGUAAAGAACUAUAAGGAAUGUGAUGACCCCUGGACAGAGAGUCUAUGCUGAUAGCCAUCAUCAAUGACAACUGAAAGAUCAAGCCCCCCCAGUACAUAGUUGUAUAUUCUAGUUGUGAGUGCUUCCGGUUGUGCUAUGUGGGACACCACCUCAGCGUGGCCUGAUGAGCGGUGCCAUGUCCGUGCCCAGGAUCCAAACCAGCAAAACCGUGGGCCCCGAAGCAGAGCGAACGAGCUUAACUACCCGGCCACAGGGCUAGCCCCUAUUAAAACUUUUUAAGUUAAAAACUGGGAUGUCAGUUGCUACCCACACUGAAUAUAAAUUUAGAAAUUCUUUCUACACUGCAUAAUCUUGCUUAUAAUCAGGUCUAUUUUAUUCCUUACUUUCUUGGUAUUUGCUCGAGUAUUUAUCAAAAGAUAAUUUGCCCAUCACUAAGAAAAGGUAAAUAUUUAAGUAAGGGAUUUUAUCACAAUCAGGGCUUUCUCACAGAAAUGGUGUAAAUUAAUGUGUCCAAAUGUCAUUUGGUAAAAAUAUGCUUCCAAAUUAGUUUUUAACAAAGUAUUCUGAUAAAAAUAAUUGAUGGAAAAAAUAACCUGACUCAAAUAUAUAAAAAAAUUAUUGAUUUUUCAUGCAUGUUUUAACAUGGAUUAAGAUAAAAUGUAUGCUCAAAUAUUUAAAAUAUACUUAUUUACAAUGUUCUGCAUUAUAUUUUCUACUUCUUCCCUGAAAGUAAUAUAAAACCUUAAAGCCUAGAUGAAAGCUAAAAUCUCAAAAAAUUGAUAGGAUUUUUUAAGUGAAUCCAAAAUAAGAAAUAUUUCUUAUGUUAUAAAACAACCACAGGGAUUUCAGUUUUUAAAUAAAUAAAAUGAUUUUGCCUUCAGGAGAUGAGUGUGGACAUUAGAGGAUUAGAAAGAAAGUAUCCAACUUGCAAACUGUUCUACUCUUAGUGAGUUUCUUUUUUAUAUUUGCUUUUAUUAUACACCAUGCUAUUGUCCUCAAAAUUGUAGCCUCAAGCUUAACACUUAAUAAACAUUUACAUGAAUAAUGGCACUAGAUGAAGAGGAUAUAUGUUAUUUAUAAAA